AUGAAGCCAACCGCCAGCGGCGCUGCAGAACCUGCAUCAACAUUUACAUCAACAACAGACAAAAGCUCAGCGAAGAGGAGGAGGAGACAGCUUCGGGCUCCUUCACAGGCUAGAGCCCAAAAAACUCCCCGUCGCUCAAGCAGCUUAGCAUCCUCUCACUGUCCAGAAAGAGACAGAAACAUUGCUGUGAGGGGGGCGCUGACGUCUGCUGACGGAAGAGAGAGGGAGCCCGAGAGCCGCGGCGGAGCAGCUGUUCACCCGGAUGGUGCUGAAGCUGAUCUAGUCAGCGCAAACAGGGCGGAUGCUGUUGGGGAAUAUCCGGCACAUUCAUCAGCGCCGGUCCGUCGCUCCACUUUACGCAUACCUUGCUUCAAAAGCGAUACUAGCAAGCGUUUGUUGUCGGGCAGAGUUUCCUCUUUAAAGGAAAAAGAGAGGAAAUCCUCCGAGGAGCAGGAGGAGGAGGAGGGCGAUCGACCGGGGAGAAGCGGCGCUCCUGUGGGCUGCGGAGCGGGCCUUGGGUUGAGUUUGUGGUGGGGAGGAUGCUUACAGACUGAGCUGAUCCAGUUUCAUCUGCUGAAGAGAUUGAAGAGAAGCAGUGCGAAGAUGCAAACGAAAACUGAUAGCGUGGGCUCGGUGGAGGCCGAGCAGGGCGAGCAGGAGCCGGCUGCAGAGGCGGGGUCCGUGACACAGCAGGACCAGGCCCUCGAAGAAGAGAUGGAGAGACUGCUGGAGGAAAACGAAGAUCUCAAGUGUGAAAUAGAAGAGAUGAGGACUGAGAUGGAGGAGAUGCGGGACACUUUCUACGAGGAAGACACUUGCCAGCUGCAGGACAUGAGGCGAGAGUUGGAGAGAGCUAAUAAAAACUGCCGGAUCCUGCAAUAUCGACUGCGCAAGGCUGAGAGGAAGAGGCUGCGUUACGCCCAGACGGGAGAGAUCGAUGAAGAGCUGCUCAGGAGUCUUGAGCAGGACCUGAAGGUGGCGAAGGAUGUGUCAGUAAGGCUGCAUCAUGAACUGGAAAAAGUGGAGGAAAAGCGCACAAAGACAGAAGAUGAGAAUGAAAAACUGAGGCAGAAACUCAUAGAGGUGGAAGUGACCAAACAAGCACUGCAGAACGAACUUGAUAAAACCAAAGAGUCUCAAAAGAGAAGAGGAAGCAAAGACGUCCAGAAGACUGACAAGAAAUCCGCACAGACUCCAACUGAGGAGGACAAUGAUGACCUCAAGUGCCAGCUAGCUUUUAUCAAAGAGGAAGCUGUGCUUAUGAGGAAGAAGAUGGCCAAGAUCGACAAGGAAAAAGAUCGUCUGGAGCAAGAGUUGCAGAAGUAUCGCUCCUUCUAUGGAGAGCUGGACAGCACCCAUCCUAAAGGGGAGGCUGGGGGUCCCCCCACCACCCGUGAGUCAGAGCUGAAGCUACGGCUUCGUCUGGUAGAAGAAGAAGCCAACAUCCUGGGGAGGAAGAUAGUUGAGUUGGAGGUGGAGAACCGUGGCCUGAGGGCAGAGCUCGAUGACCUCCGCGGUGAGGGAGAGGGUGCUGGGAACUCUGGGUGUGGAGCGGUGGGUGGGCCAGGUGGAGGGCGAGGCCUGGGGGACGACCUGACGGAGCUCCGGCAACAGCUGCAGCUGGUGGAGGAUGAGGCGGAGCUUCUGAGGAGAAAUCUGGCUGAUGCUGAGGAGCAGAACAAGAGGGUGACUGGUGAGCUGAACAAGUUACGCUUCAAGGCUGGUACUUAUGAGGGAGGUGCCAGGCAUGGAGGAGGAGUCGCAGGAGGGGCAGCAAUUGAUGGAGCAAAAGCAGAAGCUCUACAAGAGGAAUUGAAAGCUGCAAGACUACAAAUUAAUGACCUGAGUGGAAAGGUAAUGCAGCUGCAGUACGAGAACCGUGUGCUCCUCUCCAACAUGCAGCGCUAUGAUCUAGCUUCCCAUCUCUCCCUUCGGCCCAGCCCACGGGACAGUGAUGCAGAGAGUGAUGCUGGUGGAGCUACAAGCGGCCGUCGUGAGAGUUAUGAGGACUCCACCUCCUCUCGCCUGCUCCCACCUCACCGCAAACGUGAGGGCCCUGUUGGUGGGGAAAGUGACUCAGAUGAGGUGAGAAACAAUAACGGCAGCAGCCGAUGCAUGACGCCCACACGGGGCCUCUACACACCAACUGGGCCAGAGGGCGCUGCCUCCUCUGCCUUGGCCCGCUUCCUGCCUGGCGGUCGCUGCAGCCUCCGUGAGAGACAGCAGAUGAUAGACAUCCGUGUGGAAGCGGAGAGGCUGGUUCGCACCAUCGACAGGCUCAUCGCUGACACAGCCACCAUCAUAUCGGAGGCGAGGGUCUAUGUUUCAAAUGGAGACUUAAUGUUUGGAAGAGGAGGAGAGGAAGGUGGAGAAGAUGAUGGGAGCAGGAUCAGGGAACACGAACUAUUGUAUCGCAUUAAUGCUCAGAUGAAGGCCUUUAGAAAAGAACUGCAAGCUUUCAUUGACAGACUGGAGGUGCCGAGGCCUGAGGACAGGCAGACAGAGGAGCCACUGUCGGUAACCAAAAGCACAGAAAAAGCUCAGCACUUGCCAAGACCAUUCAGGCAUUGGCUCCAACACUGGAGUCUACAUUAUCACAACACGUCACUGUUCGCAUCACUCAGAGAAGAACACUUGCUGUGCCAUGCUGCUGUUGCCUUAAGGUAAAGUAAGGACAAAAGUUUGUUUAUAUCCCUCCCCUUAACUCACAAAGGGUUUGUGAUUUAGUGGGGAAAACAACAGGUGGAAGAAUGAUGAUCAUGGGCCCUUUUAAACUCAGAAGGCAUUUUGAUCAUCAUGUCAAGUGCCAAAAAUUGGAUCUUGUUUUCUAGGGGCACCAAAUUUCCCAGCAGAGCCUCUAAUUAUCGGCUGGCACUGGUAAUUGAUGGUGAGGCAGAUGAACAUUAGCAACUGCCUUCAGACGUCAAAGCAAACCAGUGAGAUUAGUUAAGACCCCAGGUUCAAGUUGCUCCAGGAUAUUUAGCUUAUUUGCACAUUUGCAAGCAUAAUCUAUAACGACUGUGUAGAUUGUAUUUUGCAAAAUGUAGCUAUUAUGAAAUCAUGUUAAGUGAAUCAUGAUAUAAAUUUUUGGACAAGAAUGUAAAGUAUGACUAAAAGGUAUUUCAGACAUGCUAGGCACCCUUUUCGUGACUGUCUUCAGUAUUAUUGACUGUGACACAUUGUUACUCACUGUGUCACCCGCACCCAUUUGGCAUCCUUUGGAAAAAUAAUUUGCAACACGACAUGGUCACAAGUCUAAAUCUGCCCAAGCAUCCUAAAGCAGAGUAGCAACAGACAAGCCUAUUGGCCGAGAGACGGCAGCAGCUGAAAUAGCUAUGUAAACACUUUCCCUCGAUCCGUGCGUCCCAGUAAUUAUAGCCAGGAUGCUGGUGACGACAGUCGUCCCAUCGAGACUUCAAAUACUGGAAUAAAUUUGACAUUAUGCCAUUUGAUCCGACUCAUAAGCCGCGCCCACGUAAACACCGGAGUGGGUGGUAUAAAGUCUGGGGACCCCGGCUGGAGCAGAAUAUGUUUAUCUUUUUAGCUUAAAGCUCCUUACCCCAGCAACAUCAGGAGAAAGGGGGCCCUUUAAAUCAAGUCCGUGGCGCUUUACGUAACACAGAUAGGGGCAAAAGUGAGGGGAAGCACCGCUGAGAGGGGACUUUACAGUUUGGCAUCGUGGGGAGUGAAUGUGUCGAAGAGAGCAGAGCGAACUGAAGAGCGCGGGGACUAGAUCUGGUUGAGGAUUUAUACUGGAAUUUCUCUGUGUAGAACCAGUGUUCCCAGGCCAUCAAUCCUUCUUGUCCCUUGCCAGCAGCCCGACGGUGACCUCUGACAGGA